rnacentral:misc_RNA from 1 species
GAAAGACUCCAAAAAAAUUUGAACAUUGAUGGCGGAGAUGAUACGGAAAUGGUUGAUUUGGAGGCAGCAGUGAAGAGUUUCAUCAAUGAUAAUGCUGAUAAUGCCAUUGAUGGCGAGGAGAAGACAGAGACGAAUAAGAAAAAUAAGAAGAAAAGGGUGGACGUAGAGAAGAGGGGGAAGAAACUGAUAGAAGGCUCACUGAAGAAGAAUAAGAAGAAGA